rnacentral:rRNA from 1 species
UUGUGCCUACGGGACGCAGCAGUGGGGGAUAUUGCACAAUGGGGGAAACCCUGAUGCAGCGACGCCGCGUGGGUGAAGAAGCGCCUCGGCGCGUAAAGCCCUGUCAGCAGGGAAGAAAAUGACGGUACCUGAAGAAGAAGCCCCGGCUAACUACGUGCCAGCAGCCGCGGUAAUACGUAGGGGGCGAGCGUUAUCCGGAUUCACUGGGUGUAAAGGGAGCGUAGACGGCCAUGCAAGCCAGAGGUGAAAGCCCGGGGCCCAACCCCGGGACUGCCCUUGGAACU